CUACUGUGUAUCAUAUAGCUACAGUGUCUCCAGGUGUCUACUGUGUAUCAUAUAGCUACAGUGUCUCCAGGUGUCUACUGUGUAUCAUAUAGCUACAGUGUCUCCAGGUGUCUACUGUGUAUCAUAUAGCUACAGUGUCUCCAGGUGUCUACUGUGUAUCAUAUAGCCACAGUGUCUCUCGGUGUCUAGUGUGUAUC